rnacentral:rRNA from 1 species
UACGUAGGGUGCAAGCGUUAAUCGGAAUUACUGGGCGUAAAGCGUGCGCAGGCGGUUGUGCAAGACCGAUGUGAAAUCCCCGGGCUUAACCUGGGAAUGGCAUUGGUGACUGCACGGCUAGAGUGUGUCAGAGGGGGGUAGAAUUCCCCGUGUAGCAGUGAAAUGCGUAGAGAUGUGGAGGAAUACCGAUGGCGAAGGCAGCCCCCUGGGAUAACACUGACGCUCAUGCACGAAAGCGUGGGGAGCAAGCAGG